CUACGGGUGGCUGCAGUGAGGAAUAUUGCACAAUGGGCGCAAGCCUGAUGCAGCCAUGCCGCGUGUAUGAAGAAGGCCUUCGGGUUGUAAAGUACUUUCAGCGGGGAGGAAGGGAGUAAAGUUAAUACCUUUGCUCAUUGACGUUACCCGCAGAAGAAGCACCGGCUAACUCCGUGCCAGCAGCCGCGGUAAUACGGAGGGUGCAAGCGUUAUCGGAAUUACUGGGCGUAAAGCGCACGCAGGCGGUUUGUUAAGUCAGAUGUGAAAUCCCCGGGCUCAACCUGGGAACUGCAUCUGAUACUGGCAAGCUUGAGUCUCGUAGAGGGGGGUAGAAUUCCAGGUGUAGCGGUGAAAUGCGUAGAGAUCUGGAGGAAUACCGGUGGCGAAGGCGGCCCCCUGGACGAAGACUGACGCUCAGGUGCGAAAGCGUGGGGAGCAAACAGGAUUAGAUACCCCGGUAGUC
rnacentral:rRNA from 1 species